rnacentral:rRNA from 1 species
CAGUCGCCGCGGUAAUACGUAUGUCACAAGCGUUAUCCGGAUUUAUUGGGCGUAAAGCGCGUCUAGGUGGUUAUGUAAGUCUGAUGUGAAAAUGCAGGGCUCAACUCUGUAUUGCGUUGGAAACUGUGUAAUUAGAGUACUGGAGAGGUAAGCGGAACUACAAGUGUAGAGGUGAAAUUCGUAGAUAUUUGUAGGAAUGCCGAUGGGGAAGCCAGCUUACUGGACAGAUACUGACGCUAAAGCGCGAAAGCGUGGGUAGCAAACAGGAUUAGAUACCCCCGUAGUCCCUGUCUCUUAUACA